rnacentral:tRNA from 1 species
GCCGGAGUGGCGGAACGGUAUACGCGGUGGACUCAAAAUCCACUGGCCGCAAGGUCUUGUGGGUUCAAAUCCCUCCUCCGGCA